ensembl:snoRNA
CCCUCCAACAAAGGGAUGUCCAUGUGGUUUUCUGUCUUUGGACAUGUAAGAAUUGGAAGCAAAGAAACGUUGACUUGAAGACAACUGGGGUCAGCCUUCUCCCUGCAGGCUCAAGAUCAACCAUCCCAGAAUG